AAAAUUUGCUGGCGUGUGGUGGCGCUAUCCUCGGCCUAUCAAUGACUUUCAAUACCAUAUCGGACGGCAAGGUGACUGCGGGUUUGAAUGAAUGGAUUCACUAAAACAGUUGGAUUGUCAUAUCUUCAGGUGGUUGUGAGUGCGAUGGACAGGCCUGAGGCCACGCAUGGCGCCUUCCGGCUGGAGGAAGCCGACACAUAUCGAAGAGAGGGCUGGGGUAGAAGCAGCAACACGAGAAGAAGGAACAGUUCUCAGAUUGCCACUAGCAACAACCAUGGCAGGACCUGGUCCAUGUGUUACCCGUGACAACAGUUGAGUGGACAAUAUGAGAAGCAGGGCCUGGCCGACAUGUUACCCGUGACAACAGUUCAGUGGACAGCAUGAGACCAAGGACCUGGUCCAUGGUUACCCAUGACAACAGUUGAGUGGACAAUAUGAGAAGCAGGGCCUGGCCGACAUGUUACCCGUGACAACAGUUCAGUGGACAGCAUGAGACCAAGGACCUGGUCCAUGGUUACCCAUGACAACAGUUGAGUGGACAAUAUGAGAAGCAGGGCCUGGCCCACAUGUUACCCGUGACAACAGUUGAGCGGACAGCGUGAGAAGCAGGACCUGGUCCACGUGUUACCCGUGACAACAGUUGAGUGGACAGCAUGAGAAGCAGGGCCUGGUCUACGUGUUACCCGUGACAACAGUUGAGUGGACAGCAUGAGAAGCAGGGCCUGGCCCAUGGUUACCCGUGACAACAGUUGAUUGGACAGCAUGAGAAGCAGGACCUGGUCAACGUGUUACCCGUGACAACAGUUAAGUGGACAGCAUGAGAAGCAGGUCCUGGCCCAUAGUUACCCGUGACAACAGUUGAUUGGACAGCAUGAGAAGCAGGACCUGGUCGACGUGUUACCCGUGACAACAGUUGAGUGGACAGCAUGAGAAGCAGGGCCUGGCCCACGUGUUACCCGUGACAACAGUUGAUUGGACAGCAUGAGAAGCAGGACCUGGUACACGUGUUACCCUUGACAACAGUUGAGUGGACAGCAUGAGAAGCGGGACCUGGUCUACAUGUUACCCGUGACAACAGUUGAGUGGACAGCAUGAGAAGCAGGACCUGGUCCACGUGUUACCCGUGACAACAGUUGAGUGGACAGCAUGAGAAGCAGGACCUGGUCGACGUGUUACCCGUGACAACAGUUGAUCGGACAGCGUGAGAAGCAGGACCUGGUCCACGUGUUACCCGUGACAACAGUUGAGUGGACAGCAUGAGAAGCGGGACCUGGUCCACAUGUUACCCGUGACAACAGUUGAGUGGACAGCAUGAGAAGCAGGACCUGGUCCACGUGUUACCCGUGACAACAGUUGAGUGGACAGCAUGAGAAGCAGGACCUGGUCGACGUGUUACCCGUGACAACAGUUGAUCGGACAGCAUGAGAAGCAGGGCCUGACCCACGUGUUACCCGUGACAACAGUUGAUUGGACAGCAUGAGAAGCAGGACCUGGUCCACGUGUUACCCUUGACAACAGUUGAGUGGACAGCAUGAGAAGCAGGACCUGAUCCACGUGUUACCUGUCGCGACAAGCAUGUACUGCUUGACUGUAUUGAUUUUUCCAUUACAAGGAAUAAGUAUUUCAAAGUUUCAUCCAUCAAGGAUCUUUUUAGUCAAAUACGUGCUCAUUUAAUCAUCGAUUUUUUAAAAGAAAUAGACUUAAUAGAUAAAUUUUGAUUAUAAUAUAUAUAGCAUAAAAUACGUGAUUUUUAAUUUGGUAGAAUGAAUUCAUUACUGAGAUUGUUAGUGGCUGUAUCUUCACAAGGGGUUGAAGUAUCGUAAAACAAUUGUACCCCUGGGUAUCAUUCAAAGUAUCUUUUCCUUCUCUGUCAUUUGAAUCGUGGUAUGACCAUCGCCAGUAGACAGAGGGAUGGUGUAAAUCCUGCUGGGGCACCAUGUAAAUAGCAGAAGUACCGUACGUUUCCAUGACCCCUAGUAUGGUGGCCUAACUUUGGUUGCUGGCGAUCUGAAGCCCGUUUUUAUAAUGUGUCGUCUGUUAUAAUCUGAUCAUUAUAUUGUUCCAAAAUUAGUUUUACAAUUAUAAUCUGUGAUGUAUUGCUAGUUGUUGUACUGUCCUUCGACGACAGGUUUUUAUAUAUAAUAUAAAUGCAUAACUUGCUCAAGUCACGAUAUGGCUGAAAUAGUGCCGAUGUGACUUUAAAUAUUAACUUACUCACUAUUGACUGAAAAGUAAGACUGCAUUUUAGACAGACUGACUGAAAUGAAUUAGGCUCAUUUAUUCGAUCUCCUCAUUUUAAUUUGGAUCUAUUUUGAUCUUAUGAAGAUCAAAGUCAGUCAUGUAAGUAAUUAAAAAUGUUUCCACCAUGAAUUGAUUGGUUCUUCAAACUUGAUAAAUUA